CUCAUCUUCAUCAGAUUCCACCAUGUCUCCUGAAUCAACUUCAUCAUCAUCAUCUUCCUCCUCCUCCUCUGCUUCCUCUUCCAUUUCUUCGUAUUCUUCAGGACUCAUUUCCUUAAAAGAGAGCAUUUCUGGAAAAUUCCAGGAGUGGCUUCAUUGGCGUAUGCUACUAAUCAUUUAAGCAAGAAACAAGACCAAGCUUACAUAAACUCUUCCAGGGAACAGAAAAAGAGGCAACACUUCCCGACUCGCUUUACAAGGAGCAGAAGCAAUUUCUUCAACCAAGAGUAUCUACAAGAAAACUGUUGAUACAACAAAGACCAUAAGAAGAAAUGUUGAAAGCAUUCUCUCUGACAAAGGCAAGGAUUUCCAUGAUCAUUUCUGUUUGUUUGUU